CAGCCGCCACGGGAAUACGUAGGUGGCAAGCGUUGUCCGGAAUUAUUGGGCGUAAAGCGCGCGCAGGUGGUUUAAUAAGUCUGAUGUGAAAGCCCACGGCUCAACCGUGGAGGGUCAUUGGAAACUGUUAAACUUGAGUGCAGGAGAGAAAAGUGGAAUUCCUAGUGUAGCGGUGAAAUGCGUAGAGAUUAGGAGGAACACCAGUGGCGAAGGCGGCUUUUUGGCCUGUAACUGACACUGAGGCGCGAAAGCCAGGGGAGCGAACGGGAUUAGAGACCCGUGUAGUCCCUGUCUCUUAUAC
rnacentral:rRNA from 1 species